CGGACGUGGGUAACCUGCCUCAUACAGGGGAUAACAGUUAGAAAUGACUGCUAAUACCGCAUAAGCGCACAGUGCUGCAUGGCACAGUGUGAAAAACUCCGGUGGUAUGAGAUGGACUCGCGUCUGAUUAGCUAGUUGGUGGGGUAAUGGCCCACCAAGGCGACGAUCAGUAGCCGACCUGAGAGGGUGACCGGCCACAUUGGGACUGAGACACGGCCCAA
rnacentral:rRNA from 1 species